UACGUAGGUCCCGAGCGUUGUCCGGAUUUAUUGGGCGUAAAGCGAGCGUAGGUGGUUUAUUAAGUCUGGUGUAAAAGGCAGUGGCUCAACCAUUGUAUGCAUUGGAAACUGGUAGACUUGAGUGCAGGAGAGGGGAGUGGAAUUCCAUGUGUAGCGGUGAAAUGCGUAGAUAUAUGGAGGAACACCGGUGGCGAAAGCGGCUCUCUGGCCUGUAACUGACACUGAGGCUCGAAAGCGUGGGGAGCAAACAGG
rnacentral:rRNA from 1 species